AAGUCGUAACAAGGUAUCCGUAGGUGAACCUGCGGAUGGAUCAUUAUCACGUUAUCCACGUAUCAACCAUUGUGAACUAGUACUUUACCUUUGUUUGGAGAGUGGGAAAUUAGGAGGCAACUCUUAGUUUUUUACUAACCUUACAAUUGUAUUUCAAUUUAAUUAUUAACUAUUUAAACAACUUUUAAAUAAUUAACUAUUGAACUGAAACAUUCUUUACUCUCUCGGGAGAAAGAAUAAAAAUUACGAAACAUAAGAACAACUCUUAGCAACGGAUAUCUUGGUUCUC
rnacentral:misc_RNA from 1 species